rnacentral:lncRNA from 1 species
GGGACCUAAUUUGCAACAAUGUCUGUUUGUCCAAUCGUUGCUGACCGGAACCUUGUGGGAGGUCUACAUCCAGCUCUUUUCCUUCACUAUGAUGGGGGUUAUUGAUAGACUCUGUUACCAGCACCUGGCUCAACCUCCUGCAUUCAGGGUUGAGAAGGACCCAUAGAAGGGAAAAAAGAAAAACACUGAGGAACAUGGUUCUGCAUGGAAGAUCCUAAAUGGCAACAAAUGGUUUCAGCCAGCCAAGAGUGCAUGAGUUCAGAUCCACAUAGCUGAAGAGAAAAACCUGAAACCUUACCACAUAGUUGAAGAGAAAAACCUGAAACCUUUAACCCUAAACAUUUUGAAACCAGAAGUCUAGUGAGGAAGCUAAAGAAAGCUUCAAGAGAUGAAAGAAUGACAUCAACGUAAUUAUCACUCUCUCUUUUCAAGGAGCUGCUUAUCCACCAGGAAGAAGAUAGAUGAGAAUGGAAAACACAGUGAAAACAGCAUGCUGAGAUUUUGUUUUUUCCAAAGCAAGUAGAAGCAGCUGGUUGUUUGUCUGCUGAGACAGAACCUAUGGAACUUAUGGGAGAAGAGAAAUGUCAAUAAAAUCAGUCACUUCUUGAAGACCCAGGUUGAUAUUUUCUUUUGCAAAAUAAGGACUCUAGAGGCUCUCAGAGACUGUUUCUUACCAUCAAGCAUUUCCUUUUUCCUUAGCUCCUGUCCCACUGGAAAGAAAAAAUUCAAUUUAAUUUCCUUCUAUCAGAUAGAACACUUGGAAAGACACUCAAGCAUUUACUAAUUUAUUCUUGACUACGUUAGUUUUAAUCCUAAAAGCUCCU